rnacentral:rRNA from 1 species
AGAGUUUGAUCCUGGCUCAGGAUGAACGCUAGCUACAGGCUUAACACAUGCAAGUCGAGGGGCAUCAGUUUGGUUUGCUUGCAAACCAAAGCUGGCGACCGGCGCACGGGUGAGUAACACGUAUCCAACCUGCCUCAUACUCGGGGAUAGCCUUUCGAAAGAAAGAUUAAUAUCCGAUAGCAUAUAUUUCCCGCAUGGGUUUUAUAUUAAAGAAAUUCGGUAUGAGAUGGGGAUGCGUUCCAUUAGUUUGUUGGCGGGGUAACGGCCCACCAAGACUACAAUGGAUAGGGGUUCUGAGAGGAAGGUCCCCCACAUUGGAACUGAGACACGGUCCAAACUCCUACGGGAGGCAGCAGUGAGGAAUAUUGGUCAAUGGACGCGAGUCUGAACCAGCCAAGUAGCGUGAAGGAUGACUGCCCUAUGGGUUGUAAACUUCUUUUAUAUGGGAAUAAAGUGGUCCACGUGUGGAUUUUUGUAUGUACCAUAUGAAUAAGGAUCGGCUAACUCCGUGCCAGCAGCCGCGGUAAUACGGAGGAUCCGAGCGUUAUCCGGAUUUAUUGGGUUUAAAGGGAGCGUAGGCGGAUUGUUAAGUCAGUUGUGAAAGUUUGCGGCUCAACCGUAAAAUUGCAGUUGAUACUGGCAGUCUUGAGUGCAGUAGAGGUGGGCGGAAUUCGUGGUGUAGCGGUGAAAUGCUUAGAUAUCACGAAGAACUCCGAUUGCGAAGGCAGCUCACUGGAGUGUAACUGACGCUGAUGCUCGAAAGUGUGGGUAUCAAACAGGAUUAGAUACCCUGGUAGUCCACACAGUAAACGAUGAAUACUCGCUGUUUGCGAUGUACGGCAAGCGGCCAAGCGAAAGCGUUAAGUAUUCCACCUGGGGAGUACGCCGGCAACGGUGAGACUCAAAGGAAUUGACGGGGGCCCGCACAAGCGGAGGAACAUGUGGUUUAAUUCGAUGAUACGCGAGGAACCUUACCCGGGCUUGAAAGUUAGCGACGAUUCUUGAAAGAGGAUUUCCCUUCGGGGCGCGAAACUAGGUGCUGCAUGGUUGUCGUCAGCUCGUGCCGUGAGGUGUCGGGUUAAGUCCCAUAACGAGCGCAACCCCUACCGUUAGUUGCCAUCAGGUCAAGCUGGGCACUCUGGCGGGACUGCCGGUGUAAGCCGAGAGGAAGGUGGGGAUGACGUCAAAUCAGCACGGCCCUUACGUCCGGGGCUACACACGUGUUACAAUGGUAGGUACAGAGGGCAGCUACCCAGCGAUGGGAUGCGAAUCUCGAAAGCCUAUCUCAGUUCGGAUUGGAGGCUGAAACCCGCCUCCAUGAAGUUGGAUUCGCUAGUAAUCGCGCAUCAGCCAUGGCGCGGUGAAUACGUUCCCGGGCCUUGUACUAACCGCCCGUCAAG